CGAUGUGAGGGCCAUCUGCCUGUGACACCCGUCACCACACUGAUCUCCAGCCUUGAGUCAACCCAUGUGCCUGCCCAAGCCCAGGUCCCCUUCCUCACCCAGCGCUCCAUAUGCAUCCCUCCCAAUGCUGCUCGGUCACAGAGGACGACCUCCCCGAUACAGACUGUACAUUUUAUCACUCAAGGCUAUUUGGACAGCUUUGCUCUCUUCUACAACCUCAUAACCACCCCAAGCUCCAUUCCUAGGAGGGCUUUCCUGGUAGUCCUAAAUAAAAUUUUGCACAAAACAGGACUGAAAGAGUGUCCCAUGAAAUGGGAGGCAUUCAUGU
rnacentral:snRNA from 1 species